GAUGAACGCUGGCGGCGUGCCUAAUACAUGCAAGUAGAACGCUGAAGGAAGGAGCUUGCUCUUUCCGGAUGAGUUGCGAACGGGUGAGUAACGCGUAGGUAACCUGCCUGGUAGCGGGGGAUAACUAUUGGAAACGAUAGCUAAUACCGCAUAACAGUAGAUGUUGCAUGAUAUCUACUUAAAAGGUGCAAUUGCACCACUACCAGAUGGACCUGCGUUGUAUUAGCUAGUUGGUGAGGUAACGGCUCACCAAGGCGACGAUACAUAGCCGACCUGAGAGGGUGAUCGGCCACACUGGGACUGAGACACGGCCCAGACUCCUACGGGAGGCAGCAGUAGGGAAUCUUCGGCAAUGGACGGAAGUCUGACCGAGCAACGCCGCGGGAGGGAAGAAGGUUGUCGGAUCGUAAAGCUCGGUUGUAAGAGAAGAACGAGUGUGAGAGUGGAAAGUUCACACUGUGACGGUAUCUUACCAGAAAGGGACGGCUAACUACGUG
rnacentral:rRNA from 1 species